ACAAAACAUAGAGUACCCCGGCAGCCGGCAAGAGGAAGAGAGAGUGGCUUCCACAUCCCCAAUAUCCUAGAGGCGGCUGAGCCGGAGGCGGUCGCACAAAGCGGGCCCCGGGGGCCGUUCCAGCCGCGGCCGACCAUAGAGAUGCGGCUCCCGCCGGCUCUGGGUCUGGAGGUGAGUGAGCGGCUGCGGGGCGGAACUGGGAAGGGAAUGCGGGUGGAGCGAGCUGGAGGCAAAGUUUUUCGAGCCCCGGGAUCAGGGUGGGCCUGGGCGCUGGGAACUCUCGGAAGGAGGUACUGAAGGGAGCACCCAGACGAGCUGGGCCCCGGCGCUGCAGUCGCGUCACGGUUCUGGACCCCGCCCGGGUACCUGCUGCUCUCAGGACAAAAUCAUGACGAUGCUCCAUCCCAAGCCUUCCAGGUUACAAACCGCCUUUCCAGUUCGCUGGCUCUUAUGAUCCAGCUCCUGCCCGACGAUGUGGACACUGUCAUCACCUCCAUUUUACAGAUAGGAAAGCUGAGGCCCAGAGAAGCGAAGCGACUGUGUCUGUCCAAGACCACGCGCCCUCCUGCCCGGAAGAUAAGCGUAUUUCUUCUCUGGUGCCCACCUGUCUCCUACCUCACCCUGCCCUCCCGCAGGUGAAGGUUCUUAAUCUUGACGGCUCAGCGUCCUCCUUGGCUCCCCCCGGAGGCCAUGUAUGGUCAAGCUUGAAGAUUCCCCAGAACAGCGAUAAUAUUCACAUUUAAGAAGCCAAAACACACAAGUCGGUGGUGAUGACAGACCCCCUUUUGGACUCACAGCCAGCCAGUAGCACCG
rnacentral:lncRNA from 1 species